GGAUGAGCCCGCGGCCUAUCAGCUUGUUGGUGGGGUAAUGGCCUACCAAGGCGACGACGGGUAGCCGGCCUGAGAGGGUGAUCGGCCACACUGGGACUGAGACACGGCCCAGACUCCUACGGGAGGCAGCAGUGGGGAAUAUUGCACAAUGGGCGAAAGCCUGAUGCAGCGACGCCGCGUGGGGGAUGACGGUCUUCGGAUUGUAAACCCCUUUCAGUAGGGACGAAGCGCAAGUGACGGUACCUGCAGAAGAAGCACCGGCUAACUACGUGCCAGCAGCCGCGGUAAUACGUAGGGUGCGAGCGUUGUCCGGAAUUACUGGGCGUAAAGAGCUCGUAGGCGGUUUGUCACGUCGUCUGUGAAAUCCCUCGGCUUAACCGGGGGCGUGCAGGCGAUACGGGCAGACUUGAGUACUACAGGGGAGACUGGAAUUCCUGGUGUAGCGGUGAAAUGCGCAGAUAUCAGGAGGAACACCGGUGGCGAAGGCGGGUCUCUGGGUAGUAACUGACGCUGAGGAGCGAAAGCAUGGGUAGCGAACAGGAUUAGAUACCCUGGUAGUCCAUGCCGUAAACGGUGGGCGCUAGGUGUGGGGUCCUUCCACGGACUCCGUGCCGUAGCUAACGCAUUAAGCGCCCCGCCUGGGGAGUACGG
rnacentral:rRNA from 1 species